UACGUAUGGUGCAAGCGUUAUCCAGAUUUACUGGGUGUAAAGGGAGCGCAGGCGGUACGGCAAGUCUGAUGUGAAAGCCCGGGGCUCAACCCCGGUACUGCAUUGGAAACUGUCGGACUAGAGUGUCGGAGGGGUAAGUGGAAUUCCUAGUGUAGCGGUGAAAUGCGUAGAUAUUAGGAGGAACACCAGUGGCGAAGGCGGCUUACUGGACGAUUACUGACGCUGAGGCUCGAAAGCGUGGGGAGCAAACAGG
rnacentral:rRNA from 1 species